UUACGGUCAUAUCACGUUGAAACAUCGGUUCUCAUCCGAUCACCGAAGUUAAGCAACGUUGAACCAGGUAUGUACCGAGAUGAGUGACUGCUUUGAAAUACCAGGUGGUGCAA